rnacentral:rRNA from 1 species
CGUUGAUUACGUCCCUGCCCUUUGUACACACCGCCCGUCGCUACUACCGAUUGAAUGGCUCAGUGAGGCCUUGGGACUGGCUCAGAGAGGUCGGCAACGACCACUCAGAACCGGAAACUUGUUCAAACUUGGUCAUUUAGAGGAAGUAAAAGUCGUAACAAGG